rnacentral:rRNA from 1 species
AUUGAACGCUGGCGGCAGGCCUAACACAUGCAAGUCGAGCGGAUGAAGGGAGCUUGCUCCUGGAUUCAGCGGCGGACGGGUGAGUAAUGCCUAGGAAUCUGCCUGGUAGUGGGGGAUAACGUCCGGAAACGGGCGCUAAUACCGCAUUCGUCCUGAGGGAGAAAGUGGGGGAUCUUCGGGCCUCACGCUAUCAGAUGAGCCUAGGUCGGAUUAGCUAGUUGGUGGGGUAAAGGCCUACCAAGGCGACGAUCCGUAACUGGUCUGAGAGGAUGAUCAGUCACACUGGAACUGAGACACGGUCCAGACUCCUACGGGAGGCAGCAGUGGGGAAUAUUGGACGAUGGGCGAAAGCCUGAUCCAGCCAUGCCGCGUGUGUGAAGAAGGUCUUCGGAUUGUAAAGCACUUUAAGUUGGGAGGAAGGGCAGUAAGUUAAUACCUGGCUGUUUUGACGGUACCAACAGAAUAAGCACCGGCUAACUUCGUG